rnacentral:rRNA from 1 species
UGGGGAAUAUUGCACAAUGGGCGAAAGCCUGAUGCAGCAACGCCGCGUGAGUGAUGAAGGCCUUCGGGUUGUAAAGCUCUGUCUUUUGGGACGAUAAUGACGGUACCAAAGGAGGAAGCCACGGCUAACUACGUGCCAGCAGCCGCGGUAAUACGUAGGUGGCAAGCGUUGUCCGGAUUUACUGGGCGUAAAGGAUGCGUAGGCGGAUUUUUAAGUGAGAUGUGAAAACCCUAGGCUUAACUUGGGGACUGCAUUUCAUACUGGAAAUCUAGAGUGCGGGAGAGGAGAAUGGAAUUCCUAGUGUAGCGGUGAAAUGCGUAGAGAUUAGGAAGAACACCAGUGGCGAAGGCGAUUCUCUGGACCGUAACUGACGCUGAGGCAUGAAAGCGUGGGUAGCAAACAGGAUUAGAUACCCUGGUAGUCCACGCCGUAAACGAUGAGUACUAGGUGUAGGAGGUAUCGACCCCUUCUGUGCCGCAGUUAACACAAUAAGUACUCCGCCUGGGAAGUACGAUCGCAAGAUU